AUGCUCACUUCGGCAGCCCAUAUACUAAAAUUGAAAUGAUAGAGAAGAUUAGCAUGGCCCCUAUGCAAGGAUGACAUGCAAAUUCAUGAAGAAUUCCAUUUUUUU
ensembl:snRNA U6 U6 spliceosomal RNA